UACGUAGGUGGCGAGCGUUGUCCGGAAUUACUGGGCGUAAAGGGCGUGUAGGCGGUUUUUUAAGUCAGACGUGAAAACCCUGGGCUUAACCCAGGACCUGCGUUUGAAACUGGAGAACUUGAGGACCGGAGAGGGUAGUGGAAUUCCCAGUGUAGCGGUGAAAUGCGUAGAUAUUGGGAGGAACACCAGUGGCGAAGGCGACUGCCUGGACGGCACCUGACGCUGAGGCGCGAAAGCUAGGGGAG
rnacentral:rRNA from 1 species